AAAUAAUUUCAGCAUAUACCUAUAAAAGAUUUUUUUUCAAACAACAUUAUCAAACCUACAAAAAACAUUUGCUCACUUUCCCUAUCUCCCCACUGGAUUAAUACAUAAAGCAAACCCCAAACACCACCCAUCACCUAGACUUAACCGGUGGUAACUGCAAUAGCAUAAUCCACUUGACAAAAUUAAUAAUAAUUUCUUUGUGUCAUGUAAUAGUCCAUAUUUUAUCUUCCCUGGUUGUAGCUGGUUUGUGUAUGGAAUUGUUUGACAGAUGAAGGUCAAGCCUCUCAGAGAAGGGGCAGCGUUUUCUAAUUCUUCCAGUGGGGUCAUAUGGGGCUGAUCCUGAAUGACCUCAUGGGUCAUCCCCCACUUCUAUGUCUCCCCCAUCUGUAGCUACUUCCAUAUUUGCACUAAAGGAGAUUCAGCUACAAAAGGAGGCCAGCCUUCGGUCUUCGUCGAUGCCUGACUCAGGCAGGCCAGCUUUCCGCGUGGUGGACACCGAAUUCUAAGCCACAGACCAAGGCCCCAGCAGGCAGCGGCUGGAGGGAUGCCACACCCCUCACAGGGCAGCCCCCAACUACAUCUUCCCUGCUUACUCUGCCUACCUGCCUGAGCCAUGUUCACCUGCCCACUUGUCCCUUGCUGCCUGUCCAAACACCCGACCAUUGGCCUGUCAACCCACCCAUUGGCCUGUCUGCUGGGUGCUAACAAAGCUCUCAUCACUCCUUCACUUGGUCUGUCUGUCUGUCUGUCUGUCUCUAUCUUGGUAGUUGCCGGAGGACAGCAUGGCCGUGCCAGCCUCCCACACUGAGGCCAGGCCUACCCCUCAUCAUACCAUCCCCCAGGACCACUACCCCACGGCCAGCCAGGGGUCCAGAGCUAGCUCAGGCUGGGAAUCUCGACUCAGACAAGAUGGUGACAAUGCCUUGAGUCUGAGGCAUCCCCUGCCUGCUUUCCUGCCUGCCCCACCUGCCUCAUAUUGUGUGGGCCUUUUUUUGUUUGUUUCAUUCAUUGUUUUUUUUAAUUAUUUUAAAUGAGGUUUUCAUUUUUUUAAAUGCAAUAUCUCUGUAUACAGAUUGGCUGGGCCCCACCCCCUGCGUGUGGCCCUCCCACAGUAUUUUGUGCAAUGAAGCCCUGCUCCCAGCCUUUCAGAGACAGGGGGACAGCCCCUAUUUGGAACCCUGAUCAUCACCAGACCCUGGGAUCGGCUAUGGGAAAGCAUGCCACGGCCACUCGCCUUCCUACCCCCGCCUGCCAUCCCUAGCUGCAGGAGGAUCUGGGGACUACCAGAGACUCUGGGAAAUGGACAAGGUGGGGGGCCCCACUCUUUCUCUCCUGCAGUCCCAUAGCUGGGGCCUCCUUCCUUCUCAGGGUCUCCCCAGCUCAGCCCUCUUGCUCCCAUCCCACUCGGUGCUGUUGGGUAGGGGCCCUGCCAGGAACUGACCAGCUCAGCAAGGAGCCAUAGUGUGCGUAUGUGCACAAGCAGGGUUGGGGGAGGGGGUUGUGAGGGGUUGUGCCCAGGUGUUGCCCCCUAUCUCCUGGGGUGGGUGAGGCAGGGCAGGGACAGUCUCCAGGGUCAGUCCCUGGAUGGGUGGUUACCUCCCCUUCCUCCACCCUAAGCCCUGGGGCCCUGAAAUGGGGUGGGAGGGCAGGGGUGGGAGCCCUCCUAGUGGGUUUGGGGGGUUGGGUUCCUGAAUGCACCAUAAUCGCUGUAUGAAAUAUUAAAAAGUCUAAAGUGAAAA